GGACCGCAGGGCUGACUUUUGCACAAAUGAGUACCUGCAAUGCCCAGCGUCAACAAUGAUGCGGACCAGAUCUUCAACUGCAGCCCCAUCCAUCGCAUCUUCACGUAGUCAGGUUGUUAACCGCAUCAUCAAGAAGAGGAUUCGUGUCCGUGUGGAGCAUUGCAGCCAUCCAUGGCUAGGAGUUCCAGCUGACUCGACCCAGUUGCUGCUAUCUCCUUCAUCCAUGAGGAGUUCUAUGGUAAAAAAAUGAAAGAAUUUCGUUACUUCUAGAGGUGUUGGCCUAGUUUUGGGAACUAGUACUAUGUUGGACCAGUUGUGGGAGCUAGUGAUCGACCUGUGAGAUGUAUAUUCUGGGGAAUUGUGAAUAUGUUAUUUGAUAUGUGUUGAGAAAAUUUACUGUUAUUUGAUAUGUGCUGAGAAAAUUACUGUUA